GUCUACGCCAUGCCACCCUUAAUGUGCCCAAUCUCGUCUGAUCUUGGAAGGUAAGCAGGGUCGGGCCUGGUUAGUACUUGGAUGGGAGAUCAUCUAGGAAUACCAGGUGCUGUAGGUG
rnacentral:rRNA from 1 species